rfam:Myotis davidii contig14481, whole genome shotgun sequence.
GGCAGCUCUUGGGUGAUGCACUCCGGAAUCGGGCUCCCUCCUCUCUGGUUCCUGGCGCAUCACUGGAGAACUGCC